rnacentral:rRNA from 1 species
AAUCGGGUAUAAGGCAGAUACCGAAGGCGCGGGAUAGCAUUAAAAAGUAUCGGUAGGGGAGCAUUCCAUGUGCGUUGAAUGGUGUAAGUGAUUUAUCCUGGAGCGCAUGGAAAAGCAAAUGUAGGUAUAAGUAACGAUAAAAAGGGUGAGAUUCCCUUUCGCUGUAAGACUAAGGUUUCCCGGGCAAUGUCAAUCGGCCCGGGGUCAGUCGGGUCCUAAGCCUCAGCCGAACGGCGAGGGCGAUGGCAGAUACGGUUAAUAUUCCGUGACUACCUUAAGGAGCGAUGUGGAGACGGAGUCGUGAAACUUCCGCGGACCGACGGAAUGGUCCGUUAAAGAGUGUAGAUGUUGAAUCCGGCAGGCAAAUCCGCCGGACGAGUCGAACUUGACAGUACAGGCUACCCUUCGGGGCGGCUUGACAGCGAAGGUAAGCAUACUCCCGAGAAAAUCCGCUAAGCAUAUCCUUGAGGUACCCGUACCGCAAACGGACACACGUAGUCGGGUAGAACAUACUAAGGCGUUGAGAGAUUCAUGGUUAAGGAACUAGGCAAACUGACCCCGUAACUUCGGGAUAAGGGGUCCUCGUCGCAAGGCGAGGCGCAGAGAAUAGGUCCAGGCAACUGUUUAACAAAAACACAGGGCUGUGCUAACUCGAAAGAUGAAGUAUACAGCCUGACACCCGCCCGGUGCCGGAAGGUUAAGAGGAGAUGUCACCGCAAGGGAAGCAUUGAAUUGAAGCCCCGGUAAACGGCGGCCGUAACUAUAACGGUCCUAAGGUAGCGAAAUUCCUUGUCGGGUAAGUUCCGACCUGCACGAAUGGUGCAAUGAUCCGGACGCUGUCUCAACCAUGAGCUCAGUGAAAUUGUAGUAUCGGUGAAGGUGCCGAUUACCCGCGAUGGGACGAAAAGACCCCGUGAACCUUUACUACAGCUUAGCAUUGACCUUGGUCAUCCGAUGUGUAGGAUAGGCCGGAGGCUUCGAAGCGGGUGCGCCAGCAUUCGUGGAGCCAUCCUUGAAAUACGGCCCUUUGUAUGUCUGAGGUCUAACGCGCUAUUGCGCGGACACUGUUUGGUGGGUAGUUUGACUGGGGUGGUCGCCUCCAAAAGCGUAACGGAGGCUUCCAAAGGUGCCCUCGGGCCGAUUGGUAACCGGCCUUAUAGAGUGCAAUGGCAUAAGGGCGCUUGACUGGGAGGCAGACAUGCCGAGCAGGCAGGAAACUGGGGCAUAGUGAUCCGGCGGAUGUGUAUGGAAACUCCGUCGCUCAAAGGAUAAAAGGUACUCCGGGGACAACAGGCUGAUCCCCCCCAAGAGCUCAUAUCGACGGGGUGGUUUGGCACCUCGAUGUCGGCUCGUCACAUCCUGGGGCUGGAGAAGGUCCCAAGGGUUGGGCUGUUCGCCCAUUAAAGUGGCACGCGAGCUGGGUUCAUAACGUCGUGAGACAGUUCGGUCUCUAUCUAUCGUGGGCGUUGGAGUUUUGCGUGGUGCCGUCACUAGUACGAGAGGACCGUGAUGGACAGACCUCCGGUUUACCAGUUGUGCCGCCAGGUACACCGCUGGGUAUCUGAGUCUGGAAUGGAUAAGCGCUGAAAGCAUCUAAGUGCGAAGCCAGCCGCAAGAUGAGAGCUCCUCAUAAGGGUCGUUGUAGACGACAACGUUGAUAGGGUGCAGGUGUAAAGACGGUGACGUCAAAGCCGAGCACUACUAAUUGCCCU